rnacentral:lncRNA from 1 species
CUUCCACUAUCUUAUACGAAUUGAGAGCCUCUACUUUCAAUCUGAAGAAUUACCUUAAUUUUUUAGUGGGUACUAGAAUCCACACAGACUGCAUACAGGCCCGAGGAUGGCUCGACCAAUCCAUAUGCACCUAUGGGUAGGUUCUCAACUAAUUAUUUUUUAAAUAAUUUUUAGUAAUUAAUUUAGUCCUAGAUUUUAUUUUAGUAGGCA